AAAAAAAUAACCAGAUUUUCUAAAAUUAUCCAAACGUAUGUUUAACUAAAAUUUUUACAUGUGUUGCUGCAUGUUGUAUGUAGUAAGUAAAUAUACGACGUGUGUUUAGAAUCUACGUAUGAAUGUAUGUUGCAUAUACAUAUGUAACUCUAGUUUCUAGUUAAAAAGACUUAUGGCAAGUGUUUGUCGUGGGGUGAGGAGGAGGAGGAGUUUCGAGCAUCAAGUGAUGAGUAUAUUACAUAUUUACCUGUAGUACCCAGAUUACAACAAACUUCAACUGCGUUUACCAACAGGAGGAUAAACACAGUAAUUUUUAGAAUGCAACAUGAAAAAAGAGCAGAAAAAUGGUCUAAAAGGGGUACCCUAACUUCAUUCAAAACUACUGGAUCGGUUUCAAGUUUUCCAUUUAAAGAAACAAUUUUCUAUUAAUAUACAUGUAAAAAAAACUAGAAAUAGAUUUUAACAAAAAUAUAUUUAAAAGUCUUUACAAA